AUGAACGCUAGCGGCAGGCUUAACACAUGCAAGUCGAGGGGCAGCAUAAUGGUAGCAAUACUAUUGAUGGCGACCGGCGAACGGGUGCGUAACGCGUAUGCAACCUACCCUUUACAGGGGGAUAACACUGAGAAAUCGGUACUAAUACCCCAUAAUAUUCUGGGAGGCAUCUUUCGGAGUUGAAAGCUUUGGUGGUAAAGGAUGGGCAUGCGUUGUAUUAGCUAGUUGGUAAGGUAACGGCUUACCAAGGCGACGAUACAUAGGGGGACUGAGAGGUUAACCCCCCACAUUGGUACUGAGACACGGACCAAACUCCUACGGGAGGCAGCAGUGAGGAAUAUUGGUCAAUGGACGGAAGUCUGAACCAGCCAUGCCGCGUGCAGGAAGACGGCUCUAUGAGUUGUAAACUGCUUUUGUACGAGGGUAAACGCAGAUACGUGUAUCUGCCUGAAAGUAUCGUACGAAUAAGGAUCGGCUAACUCCGUGCCAGCAGCCGCGGUAAUACGGAGGAUCCAAGCGUUAUCCGGAUUUAUUGGGUUUAAAGGGUGCGUAGGCGGUUUAGUAAGUCAGCGGUGAAAUUUUGGUGCUUAACACCAAACGUGCCGUUGAUACUGCUGGGCUAGAGAGUAGUUGCGGUAGGCGGAAUGUAUGGUGUAGCGGUGAAAUGCUUAGAGAUCAUACAGAACACCGAUUGCGAAGGCAGCUUACCAAACUAUAUCUGACGUUGAGGCACGAAAGCGUGGGGAGCAAACAGGAUUAGAUACCCUGGUAGUCCACGCAGUAAACGAUGAUAGCUCGUUGUCGGCGAUACACAGUCGGUGACUAAGAGAAAUCGAUAAGCUAUCCACCUGGGGAGUACGUUCGCAAGAAUGAAACUCAAAGGAAUUGACGGGGGCCCGCACAAGCGGAGGAACAUGUGGUUUAAUUCGAUGAUACGCGAGGAACCUUACCCGGGCUUGAAAGUUACUGACGAUUCUGGAAACAGGAUUUCCCUUCGGGGCAGGAAACUAGGUGCUGCAUGGUUGUCGUCAGCUCGUGUCGUGAGAUGUUGGGUUAAGUCCCGCAACGAGCGCAACCCUUACUGUCAGUUACUACGCAAGAGGACUCUGGCAGGACUGCCGUUGACAAAACGGAGGAAGGUGGGGAUGACGUCAAAUCAGCACGGCCCUUACGUCCGGGGCGACACACGUGUUACAAUGGUAGGUACAGAGGGCAGCCACCCAGUGAUGGGGAGCGAAUCUCGAAAGCCUAUCUCAGUUCGGAUUGGAGGCUGAAACUCGCCUCCAUGAAGUUGGAUUCGCUAGUAAUCGCGCAUCAGCCAUGGCGCGGUGAAUACGUUCCCGGGCCUUGUACACACCGCCCGUCAAGCCAUGGGAGUUGGGGGUGCCUGAAGUUCGUGACCGAAAGGAGCGACCUAGGGCAAAACCGAUGACUGGGGCU
rnacentral:rRNA from 1 species